rnacentral:rRNA from 1 species
GGUUAAACUAUUAAGAGCGCGUGGUGGAUGCCUUGGCAAUAAGGGCCGAAGAAGGGCGUAGCAAGUCUACGAUAAGCCUCGACUAGCUGUCUAGCAAGCUUAAUCGAGGAUUCCCGAAUGUGGAAACACAUCUUUAGUGAUACAAAUCCUUUUUGGAUUUGGGGUAAGUGGGGGAACUGAAACAUCUAAGUACCCUGAGGAAAAUAAAUCGAAUGAGAUUCCCUUAGUAGCGGUGAGCGAAACGGGAACAGCCUAAACUUUCAGAUCUUAACGGGUUGGAGCCUUUUGAUCUGUUUUGGUUGUAGGAGUCUAUAUGAGUAGCUCCAACUACUCAGAAGAGUAAAAAAUUAUUUCUUUAUAAGAAUGAAGCUUGGAAAAGCCAGCCAUAGAGGGUGAUAGCCCCGUAUUUUAAAAAGAGAUAACUCUUCAUAGAUUUCCUGAGUACCACGGGACACGUGAAAUCCUGUGGGAAUCUGGGGAGACCACUCUCCAAGGCUAAAUACCCUUGUUGACCGAUAGCGAACUAGUACCGUGAGGGAAAGGUGAAAAGAACCCCGAAAGGGGAGUGAAAUAGAACUGAAACCGUGUGCUUACAAGCCGUGGGAGCAUCUUAGGAUGUGACCGCGUGCCUAUUGAAGAAUGAGCCGACGAGUUAAUCUAUAUAGCAAGGUUAAGACAUUACGUGUUGUAGCCGAAGCGAAAGCAAGUCUGAAUAGGGCGUUUAGUUGUAUGGAUUAGACCCGAAACCGUGUGAGCUAUCCAUGACCAGGGUGAAGCGAAAUUAACGUUUCGUGAAGGCCCGAACCCUUGUACGCUGCAAAGUGCUGGGAUGAGUUGUGGAUAGAGGUGAAAUGCCAAUCGAACACGGAGAUAGCUGGUUCUCCCCGAAAUGUAUUUAGGUACAGCCUUAGGUAUUAACUAAUGGAGGUAGAGCACUGGAUGAGCUAGCGGGCGCAAGCAUUAGCAAACUCAACCAAACUCCGAAUGCCAUUAGCCGAAUCCUAGGAGUGAGACAGUGACGGAUAAGCGCCAUUGUCGAAAGGGAAACAGCCCAGAUCGCAAGCUAAGGUCCCUAAGUGAUGACUAAGUGGUAAAGGAGGUGGAGUCGCCCAGACAGCUAGCAGGUUGGCUUAGAAGCAGCCAUCCUUUAAAGAGUGCGUAACAGCUCACUAGUCGAGGGGUUCUGCGCCGAAAAUUAUCGGGGCUAAGUCAUUCACCGAAGCUGCGGGAUUCUUUAUUGAAUCGGUAGGGGAGCGUUCUCAAUGCGUUGAAUCUGGACCGUGAGGUUUAGUGGAGCGUUGAGAAGUGAGAAUGUCGGCAUGAGUAGCGACAAUCUUUGUGAGAAUCAAAGACACCGGAAGUCCAAGGUUUCCUACGCAACGUUGAUCGGCGUAGGGUUAGUCGGUCCUAAGGAGUAGCCGAAAGGUGAAUUCGAUGGACAGCUGGUCAAAAUUCCAGCACCGUA